GCCUGGCUGGCUCAGUUGGAAGAGCAUGCGACUCUUGAUCUCCGGGUCAUGAGUUUGAGCCUCAUGCUGGGUG
rnacentral:tRNA from 1 species